UACGUAGGGGGCAAGCGUUGUCCGGAUUCAUUGGGCGUAAAGAGCGUGUAGGCGGCCAGGUAGGUCGGUUGUGAAAACUGGAGGCUCAACCUUCAGAGGUCGACCGAAACCAUCUGGCUAGAGUCCGGGAGAGGAGAGUGGAAUUCCUGGUGUAGCGGUGAAAUGCGCAGAUAUCAGGAGGAACACCAAUUGCGAAGGCAGCUCGCUGGGACGUUACUGACGCUGGGACGCGAAAGCGUGGGGAGCAAACAGG
rnacentral:rRNA from 1 species